AUGUUCACUUCAGCAGCAUACAUACUAAAACUGGAACAGUACACAGGAGACUAACGUGGCCUCUGGGCAAAGAGGACAUUCAAGUUCUUGAAGCGUACCAUGAAAAC
rnacentral:snRNA from 14 species